CUCGUUCGCUGUAUAGCGUUUUGAGCGGAUAAAGAGCACAAGUGUGUAAGGGGACACAGAAUGAAUGGGAACUAGUUUUGUUAUUGUACUUUUGAUGAAAAGUCACUUUCUAGACAUAAAAUGUCACUUUUUUCACCUUAUCAUACUUUUUCAUCAACUUUUGCAUUUUAAUGUAAACAAUCAUAUUUCGUAAUAUUUUGGGUCAGAAACAUUUCAUAGUACUAUACUAUGUCUAACUAUGUGAAAAGAAUCAAAUUGGAGUAGGUCGGGCAACUGAUUAUAUGAGUUUGUCAGAAACAUUUCAUAGUACUAUACUAUGUCUAAAUAUGUGAAAAGAAUCAAAUUGGAGUAGGUCGGGCAACUGAUUAUAUGAGUUUGUUAGAAAAACCACUUUCCUUUGCUCCUAGCGCCUUCUCGUUCGCUGUAUAGCGUUUUGAGCGGAUAAAGAGCAGAAGUGUGUAUGGGGACACAGGAUGAAUGGGAACUAGUUUUGUUAUUGCACUUUU
ensembl:lncRNA